GGGAAAACUGAAGGAUUAAAGCUGUAAGCAAACUGAAAAGACAUGAAAAGACUAGACAACAUUAAACCAAACGGCUAAAAAAGAAACAAAAAAACAAAAGCACUAAAGAAACUGCCCAUUGGAAAAAAAAAAAAAACAAAACCCACCCUCGGCCAAAACUGAAGAAAAGAAAACUCAAAAUACCAGUCAAACCAGCUUCUCCCUUCUUGGUAAAAGACGAACGUCCAGAUGAAAGAACAGAGAAAUCCAAAGCUUUGACUCUAACCAUGGAGAUUCGAAAGAACCUUAUCCAAAAUCAAAGUAGUCUACAAUGAGUUUUGGAGCCUUUGAGACUGAUCUGCCCGAUCCUUUUCCACUAUCAUCAAAACCGAGCCAAGAACCCUAUCAACCCAAGUAACAGAAUAUUGUCUUCUCCUCCCUUCCAUCGCCAAAGUGUGGGCCGCUUCAUUGAUUCGACGAGGAAAAAAUAGCUUUUUGAUCACCGUCAGAGAGUCUCCUUCCACUAACAAGCAUCAGAAACCCAUUCACUGAGCAAAGAGUAAAGCCCUUUCACAUGCCCUAGCUUCAGCCACGAACGCGUCAGCAACAUCCGUAACCAGAUAAGUUUCUGCUCCUACUAUUUCUCCUUCAAAACCUCUAGUUAGGGCUUUUGUUGAAGAAGUUUUAGACUCACUUUGAAAAGUUGCAUCAAAAUUUAAUUUGAUAAAACCCAGAUUUGGAGGCCUCCAAACUUCAUUCGGCAGGGAAGUACAGGGCACUUCCAUUUUCUCUUGGCAUAGAUUAAGUUAUUGACUAAAGCCUCGAAUGAAACCUAACAAUUCCUGCAAAGAAAAUUUAAUACCUUUAUAAAUCAACUUAUUUCUUUUGUACCACAGGGCCCAUAAGGAAAUUGCAAUAAACUGUUUGUUUAGAUCAUCUGCUAAGCAGAAAGUAUUAACAAAGUCAUUUUUGCAGCUCAAGGCGUUGUCAACUGGAGCGAUUUUGAUUUGAAGAGAUGCCCAGACCCGUUGUACUAUAUCACAAGACCACAAUAAAUGGUCAGUAUUCUCUGGUGCAGCCUUGCAAAGUGGACAAUCAACACUAACCCGCAAGGUUCUUUGAUUCAGAUUACAGUAAUUAGGCAAGAAAUUGUUGAGCAAUCUCCAGGCAUGUAUUUUAACUUUUGCUGGUAUGCGUAUAGCCCAUAAAGACCUGUAAAAAUCCUUGUAACCCACAGUGUUAGGAUUGAUGUAGUUUGUGUUUAGAAGAUAUUCUGUAAUUAAGAUCCGAUAUCCACUUUUUACUGAGUAUCCCCUCGAGCCCUCGUGCUUCUAGACCAACGUAUCCUCUGAACUAGCUCCUGAUAACGGAAUGGACAGAAUGCGAGCUGCAUGCACAUCAUCAACAAUGUUAUGAACCAGUUCCUUGUUCCAGGAAGCCAAAGGUCAUUCCAAAUGUUUAUGCUAUCCCCGUUUCCAACUCACCAUAAGAUCCCAUCUUCAAUCAGAUCCCUAGCAGUGUAAAUGAUCCUCCAGGUAAAUGAUAGGUAAGAUCCUAUCUUUGCUGAUAGAAUGUCUGAAUGAAGAUAAUAACGGGCCUUAAGUACUUUAGCAAACAAACAA